rnacentral:rRNA from 1 species
GAGUGGACGCAUCACUGGUGUUCGGGUUGUCAUGCCAAUGGCACUGCCCGGUAGCUAAAUGCGGAAGAGAUAAGUGCUGAAAGCAUCUAAGCACGAAACUUGCCCCGAGAUGAGUUCUCCCUGACUCUUUAAGGGUCCUGAAGGAACGUUGAAGACGACGACGUUGAUAGGCCGGGUGUGUAAGCGCAGCGAUGCGUUGAGCUAACCGGUACUAAUGAACCGUGAGGCUUAACCUUACAACGCCGAAG